rnacentral:rRNA from 1 species
GAUCACGGCUCGCCCGAAGAGGCGUUCCCGAACUCCCGAAGCCACGGAGGAAAAAAAAGAAAACCCACCCAGUCCCGCACCUCCUGCGCCGCCCCCUCCCCUCCCCCGAGAACCAGCCACCGGGCCGCCACCGGUCCUAAAUCCGUCCGCCGCGCCGCUCCCUCCCCGGGAUCCGGCCGCCGCGACACCACCUCCCUCGGAUCCGGCCACCGGACCGCCUCCUUCCCCCGGAUCCGGCCGGGAUUGAUCCCACCACCGCCUGCCGCCACCAAGCACCGGCGUGCGACCCCGACGCCGCCUCCCUCCAUGAAGCGCCGGCGCCCGACCCCGUCACCUACCUCUGUUUGCAGGAAAAAUAAAAGAAACCGCUUUCUACAUGCAAAAGGGCAUCAAAUUUUGGAAGAAGUAUGGCGUUGAAUGAAAAAAUGAGGGAAAAAAGGAUCCUCAAGCAAAUCAAGCAAUGGAAAUCUUCCUUGGUGGAGCUAGUAAUGCAAAGCUGCAAAGCUUCAGUUUUAUGUAAUCUUGUCUAAAUUGUGAUAAUUUUAUGUUGCUGUGAACCUCUGCUGUAUUGUUAAGAUUGAACAUUUCACAAAGUCCUAUGUUGAAGCUCCU